GUUGAAACACCGGAUCUCGUACUAACACCGAAGUUAAACAACGUCGAGCCUGGUCGGUACCUAGAUGAAAUGACCGCCUGCGAAUAGCAGGUGCUGAAA